CCGCCGCGGUUACACGGGAGGCUCAAGUUAAGAGAUUUCGGCGUAAAGAGUGGUUAGGAAAAACAAUAAAAUAAAGCCAAAUAAUUUCAAAGCUGUUAUACGCACCUGAAAUAUAAGAAGCCCCCCUACGAAAGUGGCUUUACACCCCCCCCCUGAACCCACGGAAGCUAGGACACAAACUGGGAUUAGAUACCCCACUAUGCCUUGCCCUAAACAUAGAUGGUAAAAUACAACUUCCAUCCGCCAGGGAACUACGAGCGUAAGCUUAAAACCCAAAGGACUUGGCGGUGCUUUAGACCCCCCUAGAGGAGCCUGUUCUAGAACCGAUAACCCCCGUUCAACCUCACCCCUCCUUGUUCUUCCCGCCUAUAUACCACCGUCGCCAGCUUACCCUAUGAAGGUACAACAGUAAGCUAAACUGGCACAGCCCAAAACGUCAGGUCGAGGUGUAGCGAAUGAAGGGGAAUGAAAUGGGCUACAUUCCCUAAACUAAGGGAAUACGAACGGUAAACUGAAACAUUUACCCGAAGGCGGAUUUAGCAGUAAGCAGGGAAUAGAGUGCCCUACUGAAGCCGGCCCUAAAGCGCGCACACACCGCCCGUCACUCUCCCCAAAAACCCUUAAUAACUAACUAAAAGAUAACACAAAUAAAGGGGAGGCAAGUCGUAACAUGGUAAGUG
rnacentral:rRNA from 1 species